GAUAAGGAGAACAAUUACUCUUAGAUGCUCCAAUUGAUACUUCUAUUGCAGGAUUUACUUGUGAAGUUGGUUCCAACUGAUGUAUAAUAAUUGAAAUUGGGGAUUUUACUUCCGUUGUUCCUUCUUCGUUGUGUGCCAAUAAUCCCAACCCGAUUUGCAGAAACAAACAUUAUCUCUAUAAUUUACUUUGGUAUACUCAGUUUCAUUACCUACCAUGCUUGUUCAUGUCGUUGGUCUCUUCGUCCUAGCUGCAGCGGAGUGCAUAGGAUCACUCUUGAAGAAUGAAGGGUUUGUUUGUUCAGGUUGUGGGUCAUAACCAAAGGCCAUCAAUCUGCCAAAAAAUAUGUGGAAGACAAUUACGUUGUCGUCCAAGGACACCAACAUCGAACGUCGUUGCGGAGAAUGGCUAUAAAACCCCAAUCGCUAAGGUAGUCUAUAGCGACUGUUUACGUGGAUCUUCUACAAAUCGAACAUAUGUGGGCGAGAGAUGGAGCGCCACACUGCCACGUGGAUCGAGAAUUUAAAGCUACGACAUUGCCGCUGUUCAUCGAAGAAGACGUGCAAUGUCGUGUGUUCAUGGGCGAGUCGCUUAUGGCAUUGUCCAAGUUCACGACGUCGAUGAGAAAACUGAAGUAACUGAAAGAGGGCGUAUACUACUGGUAUACAUCGCUGGCUGAAGAAGACGACUUCUUUGGAGCAUGAGCUGCGGUCGCCAGAGAGCCGGGAGGGGCUGUUGAGGAUUAUUGAGAGUGAGUCCCACAUUGGUUAAUUUGGGUUUAUAAGUGAAGAAUACCAUAUCUAUUGGUAUGACGCCUUUUGGGAAAGCCCAAAACAAAACCACGAGAGCUUAUGUUCAAAGGGGACAAUAUCAUACCAUUGUAGAGAGUCGUGAUUUCUAACGGAGGCUGGCCGGCAACUGGAACCUCAAAAUAGUGAUAUGAAUAUUGCAAAAGAGUCGAGUAAUAUCCUUAAAAAGGACAUUUUUAUAA